rnacentral:lncRNA from 1 species
AAUUUUAUGCCGCCUGGGAGGAGAACUACUAUCUUCCCAAAUUUUUGAGGCUGGACACAAGAAGCGGACAAGCAAUUUUGUGGAUCCUAGCUCGUAAAAGAUCCACAAUUAAGUAGUGGCUCAGAUCAAAGGGUGUCAGACCCAGCUGACGCAACACUCCGAAAGGCACACCCGUCCAAUUUUCCACGACAGAGAUGGAUGAGAGUUUUUUAGGAGGUAAAUAAUAUAUUUUCAAUUAUUUAGAAAUUUAUUUAUUCUAUUUUUUGUAUUUUAAACAUUUUAAAUAUAUUACAGGUUUUCCCGUAAAAGGAACAGAUUAUCGGAGUCGGUUCGGUCAACGAUGUCAUGAGGACGACAUCGUCAUAUGCCCAGAGACAUGAAGAUUCUAUUCAGCUCCGUACAGAUUUAACGGCUGCCAACUAUGUCAUUACAACUCUCCAAGAAGGGCAACAUAAUACGAGGGUUCAUUUGUGAGUCUGUGGAGAGUUUGUUCAAUAUCAUCGCAUCGGCAAACCCCGAUGUGGGACUGGACGCUUAGACGCCAAAGCCUCAGGAUUUACCAGAAACGCCCCAUGGAGGAACUGGCGGAACUGAACCACCAAC